rnacentral:rRNA from 1 species
UACGAAGGGGGCUAGCGUUGUUCGGAAUUAUUGGGCGUAAAGCGCGCGCAGGCGGUCCUUUAAGUCUGAUGUGAAAGCCCACGGCUCAACCGUGGAGGGUCAUUGGAAACUGGGGGACUUGAGUACAGAAGAGGAAAGCGGAAUUCCACGUGUAGCGGUGAAAUGCGUAGAGAUGUGGAGGAACACCAGUGGCGAAGGCGGCGAUCUGGGAAGAUACUGACGCUGAGGUGCGAAAGCGUGGGGAGCAAACAGG